CGUCAUACCGUUUAAUCCCGGAGGUAAAGCACUGAUUGAGGUAGGGGGCUACCAGCUUACCGAACUCAUUCAAACUCUGAAUGCCGGGAUUCAAAGGAUGGCAGUCGGACUACGGGAGAUGAGUUUCGUGGUCGAGAGGGAAAGAACCCAGAUCUACUGCUAAGGCCCCGAAGUGGCGGCUCAGUGUAGCGAAGGAUGUGAUCUUGCUGAGACAACUGGGAGGUUGGCUUAGAAGCAGCCACCAUUUAAAAAGUGCGUAACAGCUUACUGGUCAAGCAAUUCUGCGCCGAUAAUGAACGGGAGUAAGUACGACGCCGAAGCAGUAAGUUCACCAAUCCUGCGGGAUUGUUGAGCGGUAGGAGAGCGCUGUACGUCAGAUACAAGGUAGACCGGAAGGACUACUGUCGGGGCGUACAGGUGAUUAUGCCGGAAUGAGUAACGAUAAGACAGGUGAGAAUCCUGUCCGCCGAAAACCUAAGGUUUCCUGGGGAAGGUAAUUCCGCCCAGGGUUAGCCGGUACCUAAGACGAGGCCGAAAGGCGUAGUCGAUGGACGGCAGGUUAAUAUUCCUGCACCACAGAUAGAUGCUGAAGAGGGGACAUCGACGGAAAAGUGAGCGGAGGGCUAGAAAUCUCCGUGCCGCAAGGCCGAUGGCAUUUAUGAUCCAGAAGUCAUUGGAACGUCGAUCAAGAAAAGCCUCGUAGGGAAGCUGUCGCGUCCGUACUAAAACUGACACUGGUAGGCGAGGUGAAUAUCCUAAGGCGCUCGAGAGAACUGUUGUCAAGGAACUCGGCAAAUUAACCCCGUAACUUCGGGAUAAGGGGUGCCCCCCGGCUUGCAAGGGCUGAGGGGCCGCAGAGAAAUGGAUCUGGCGACUGUUUACUAAAAACACAGGUCCGUGCGAAGUCGUAAGACGAUGUAUACGGACUGACUCCUGCCCGGUGCUGGAAGGUUAAGUGGAGGGGUGCAAGCUCUGAAAUGAAGCCCAGGUAAACGGCGGCCGUAACUAUAUGGUGACGGAUCGCAGGUGUUGUUCUUCCUUAUCGGAUUGGAAGGGCGGCUGAGCGGUUCCUGGAAAGAGCCCUCCGUGAGAUCGUACCCGAAACCGACACAGGUGGGCGAGGAGAGUAUCCUAAGGCGCUCGGGAGAACCUUCGUUAAGGAACUCGGCAAAUUAGCCCCGUAACUUCGGGAGAAGGGGUACCGCGGUAGCGUGAAGCGUCGAGCACGUGGAGCGCGAGGCGGGCGCAGAGAAUAGGCCCAUGCGACUGUUUACCAAAAACACAGCUCCCUGCAAACGCGGAAGCGGACGUAUAGGGGGUGACGCCUGCCCGAUGCCGGAAGGUCAAGGGGAAGGGUGACGAGCCCCGAACCGAAGCCCCGGUCAAUGGCGGCCGUAACUAUGACGGUCCUAAGGUAGCGAAGUUCCUUGUCGGGUAAGUUCCGACCUGCACGAAAAGCGUAACGCUGGCCACACUGUCUCGACCCGAGACUCAGUGAAGUUGAAAUCGCUGUGAAGAUGCGGCGUAGCUGCGGAAAGACGGAAAGACCCCGUGAACCUUUACUACAGCUUUACACUGAACUUUGAACUUGUUUGUGUAGGAUAGGUGGGACCCUUUGAAGUGGGGGCGCUAGCUCUCAUGGAGGGGACGUUGAAAUACCACCCUGACAAUUUCGGAGUUCUAACCUCGGCCCAUCAUCUGGGCUGGGAACAAUGUAUGGUGGGUAGUUUGACUGGGGCGGUCUCCUCCCAAAGAGUAACGGAGGAGUGCAAAGGUACGCUCAGCGCGGUCGGUCAUCGCGCACAGAGUGCAAUGGCACAAGCGUGCUUAACUGUGAGACGUACAUGUCGAACAGGUGCGAAAGCAG
rnacentral:rRNA from 1 species